rnacentral:rRNA from 1 species
AGUGAACGCUGGCGGUAGGCCUAACACAUGCAAGUCGAACGGCAGCACAGUAAGAGCUUGCUCUUACGGGUGGCGAGUGGCGGACGGGUGAGGAAUACAUCGGAAUCUACUUUUUCGUGGGGGAUAACGUAGGGAAACUUACGCUAAUACCGCAUACGACCUACGGGUGAAAGCAGGGGAUCUUCGGACCUUGCGCGAUUGAAUGAGCCGAUGUCGGAUUAGCUAGUUGGCGGGGUAAAGGCCCACCAAGGCGCCGAUCCGUAGCUGGUCUGAGAGGAUGAUCAGCCACACUGGAACUGAGACACGGUCCAGACUCCUACGGGAGGCAGCAGUGGGGAAUAUUGGACAAGGGGAGCAAGCCUGAUCCAGCCAUACCGAGUGGGUGAAGAAGGCGUUCGGGUUGUAAAGCCAUUUUGUUGGGAAAGAAAAGCAGCAGGUUAGUACGGCGCUGUUCUGACGGUACCGAAAGAAUAAGCACCGGCUAACUUCGUG